rnacentral:misc_RNA from 1 species
UCUAAUUUAGCUUAUACCAAUAACAAUACCGGCAAAUAAAUAAAGUCCCAAUGGAACCAUAGCACUGCUACAAACAAGACAGCCACCCAGUGCACGAGGCUCUCACCGCUGUAGGACUCCUGACUCUCGAAGAUAGAUGUUCGAGGAAGAAGGAUCAUAGUGUAGAUUCAUUUCUUUUUAGCAAUGAAUAGGCCCCACCUCUGCUCGCCACUCGAGCUGCUUCUCUUAAGCUUUGCUUUCCACCCCUCGACGAUAUCGACAUAAUCCUCCUCAGAAAAAUCUUGAACAAAAGCAUCCUUGUCCUUCUCAAUAGCAUCCAAUUCCCUUUGCAAAACUUCCACAAACUGUUCAGUCCUAUCUUCG